CCCUUAGAUGUUCUGGGCCGCACGCGCGCUACAAUGAUAGAAUCAACAAGUUUCUUUUCCGUAAGGUUAAGGAUAAUCAUUAGUUUCUAUCGUGAUGGGGCUAGACCCUUGUAACUAUUGGUCUCCAACGAGGAAUUCCUAGUAAACGCAAGUCAUUAACUUGCAUUGAUUACGUCCCUGCCCUUUGUACACACCGCCCGUCGCACCUACCGAUUGAAUGGUCCGGUGAAGUCUCCGAACUGACGUUUUCUUCGGAACGCGUCGGGAAGUUGAAUGAACCUUACCAUUUAGAGGAAGGUGAAGUCGUAACA
rnacentral:rRNA from 1 species